rnacentral:rRNA from 1 species
UACGGAGGAUGCAAGCGUUAUCCGGAUUCAUUGGGUUUAAAGGGUCCGUAGGCGGAUUUUUAAGUCAGAGGUGAAAGCCUACAGCUCAACUGUAGAAUUGCCUUUGAUACUGGAAGUCUUGAGUAUAAUUGAAGUGGGCGGAAUACGUCAUGUAGCGGUGAAAUGCAUAGAUAUGACGUAGAACACCGAUUGCGAAGGCA